rnacentral:rRNA from 1 species
GGUUAAGCGACUAAGCGUACACGGUGGAUGCCCUGGCAGUCAGAGGCGAUGAAGGACGUGCUAAUCUGCGAUAAGCGUCGGUAAGGUGAUAUGAACCGUUAUAACCGGCGAUUUCCGAAUGGGGAAACCCAGUGUGAUUCGUCACACUAUCAUUAACUGAAUCCAUAGGUUAAUGAGGCGAACCGGGGGAACUGAAACAUCUAAGUACCCCGAGGAAAAGAAAUCAACCGAGAUUCCCCCAGUAGCGGCGAGCGAACGGGGAGCAGCCCAGAGCCUGAAUCAGUGUGUGUGUUAGUGGAAGCGUCUGGAAAGGCGCGCGAUACAGGGUGACAGCCCCGUACACAAAAAUGCACAUGCUGUGAGCUCGAUGAGUAGGGCGGGACACGUGGUAUCCUGUCUGAAUAUGGGGGGACCAUCCUCCAAGGCUAAAUACUCCUGACUGACCGAUAGUGAACCAGUACCGUGAGGGAAAGGCGAAAAGAACCCCGGCGAGGGGAGUGAAAAAGAACCUGAAACCGUGUACGUACAAGCAGUGGGAGCACGCUUAGGCGUGUGACUGCGUACCUUUUGUAUAAUGGGUCAGCGACUUAUAUUCUGUAGCAAGGUUAACCGAAUAGGGGAGCCGAAGGGAAACCGAGUCUUAACUGGGCGUUAAGUUGCAGGGUAUAGACCCGAAACCCGGUGAUCUAGCCAUGGGCAGGUUGAAGGUUGGGUAACACUAACUGGAGGACCGAACCGACUAAUGUUGAAAAAUUAGCGGAUGACUUGUGGCUGGGGGUGAAAGGCCAAUCAAACCGGGAGAUAGCUGGUUCUCCCCGAAAGCUAUUUAGGUAGCGCCUCGUGAAUUCAUCUCCGGGGGUAGAGCACUGUUUCGGCAAGGGGGUCAUCCCGACUUACCAACCCGAUGCAAACUGCGAAUACCGGAGAAUGUUAUCACGGGAGACACACGGCGGGUGCUAACGUCCGUCGUGAAGAGGGAAACAACCCAGACCGCCAGCUAAGGUCCCAAAGUCAUGGUUAAGUGGGAAACGAUGUGGGAAGGCCCAGACAGCCAGGAUGUUGGCUUAGAAGCAGCCAUCAUUUAAAGAAAGCGUAAUAGCUCACUGGUCGAGUCGGCCUGCGCGGAAGAUGUAACGGGGCUAAACCAUGCACCGAAGCUGCGGCAGCGACGCUUAUGCGUUGUUGGGUAGGGGAGCGUUCUGUAAGCCUGCGAAGGUGUGCUGUGAGGCAUGCUGGAGGUAUCAGAAGUGCGAAUGCUGACAUAAGUAACGAUAAAGCGGGUGAAAAGCCCGCUCGCCGGAAGACCAAGGGUUCCUGUCCAACGUUAAUCGGGGCAGGGUGAGUCGACCCCUAAGGCGAGGCCGAAAGGCGUAGUCGAUGGGAAACAGGUUAAUAUUCCUGUACUUGGUGUUACUGCGAAGGGGGGACGGAGAAGGCUAUGUUGGCCGGGCGACGGUUGUCCCGGUUUAAGCGUGUAGGCUGGUUUUCCAGGCAAAUCCGGAAAAUCAAGGCUGAGGCGUGAUGACGAGGCACUACGGUGCUGAAGCAACAAAUGCCCUGCUUCCAGGAAAAGCCUCUAAGCAUCAGGUAACAUCAAAUCGUACCCCAAACCGACACAGGUGGUCAGGUAGAGAAUACCAAGGCGCUUGAGAGAACUCGGGUGAAGGAACUAGGCAAAAUGGUGCCGUAACUUCGGGAGAAGGCACGCUGAUAUGUAGGUGAAGUCCCUCGCGGAUGGAGCUGAAAUCAGUCGAAGAUACCAGCUGGCUGCAACUGUUUAUUAAAAACACAGCACUGUGCAAACACGAAAGUGGACGUAUACGGUGUGACGCCUGCCCGGUGCCGGAAGGUUAAUUGAUGGGGUCAGCGCAAGCGAAGCUCUUGAUCGAAGCCCCGGUAAACGGCGGCCGUAACUAUAACGGUCCUAAGGUAGCGAAAUUCCUUGUCGGGUAAGUUCCGACCUGCACGAAUGGCGUAAUGAUGGCCAGGCUGUCUCCACCCGAGACUCAGUGAAAUUGAACUCGCUGUGAAGAUGCAGUGUACCCGCGGCAAGACGGAAAGACCCCGUGAACCUUUACUAUAGCUUGACACUGAACAUUGAGCCUUGAUGUGUAGGAUAGGUGGGAGGCUUUGAAGUGUGGACGCCAGUCUGCAUGGAGCCGACCUUGAAAUACCACCCUUUAAUGUUUGAUGUUCUAACGUUGACCCGUAAUCCGGGUUGCGGACAGUGUCUGGUGGGUAGUUUGACUGGGGCGGUCUCCUCCUAAAGAGUAACGGAGGAGCACGAAGGUUGGCUAAUCCUGGUCGGACAUCAGGAGGUUAGUGCAAUGGCAUAAGCCAGCUUGACUGCGAGCGUGACGGCGCGAGCAGGUGCGAAAGCAGGUCAUAGUGAUCCGGUGGUUCUGAAUGGAAGGGCCAUCGCUCAACGGAUAAAAGGUACUCCGGGGAUAACAGGCUGAUACCGCCCAAGAGUUCAUAUCGACGGCGGUGUUUGGCACCUCGAUGUCGGCUCAUCACAUCCUGGGGCUGAAGUAGGUCCCAAGGGUAUGGCUGUUCGCCAUUUAAAGUGGUACGCGAGCUGGGUUUAGAACGUCGUGAGACAGUUCGGUCCCUAUCUGCCGUGGGCGCUGGAGAACUGAGGGGGGCUGCUCCUAGUACGAGAGGACCGGAGUGGACGCAUCACUGGUGUUCGGGUUGUCAUGCCAAUGGCACUGCCCGGUAGCUAAAUGCGGAAGAGAUAAGUGCUGAAAGCAUCUAAGCACGAAACUUGCCCCGAGAUGAGUUCUCCCUGACUCCUUGAGAGUCCUGAAGGAACGUUGAAGACGACGACGUUGAUAGGCCGGGUGUGUAAGCGCAGCGAUGCGUUGAGCUAACCGGUACUAAUGAACCGUGAGGCUUAACCUUAC